UGUCAUUACUUAAGUUGAACCAUUCAGCGAUGAUUCUUGUUCACAUGACGAGAACAAGCGCAGAUCAUCUUGUUUGAGGUUUUGGCUUCAAACAUGAAAAACUUAAAGCCAGUUAACACAGUAAAAGCCUCUCAAUCUGCAUCCUUUACUGUAAGAUGCCUGAUCCAUGAAACUCAGAAAGCUUGGAUGAGACGACAGAUUUAUUUCAGUACUGAAACCUGUCUGCUGUCACGGUUGGGCGGUGAUGCCCGUCUGUUGCCGUGGUUACAGGAUUCAGAGAGGAAAGUGAAACUUGAAGCCACCUCUGCUGAAUCUAUAAGAAUCUCUCUCUCUGCGGUGGGUCGGCAUAUUUUAAAAUUACCGGAAAGUCAAAUUUAACAUUAAGGGUCAUUGUCUUCAUCCGUCACUUGUGUUCAAUCCCGGACGCACCACCAGAGGGCACCGAUGGACCAACACGCUGCUCUGCUCCCCAACAGGGGACGACAACAGCGUGUGUUGUAGCCAUGACGAUGCAUGUUUCGUGUGUGUGUGUGUGUGUGUGUGUGUUACAAUAAAUAUACAUUUAUGAUCAUUUUGACUUUUUUGGAUAUUGGAAAUGUGUAAAGAAACACAAAAAUAUUAAUAUACAUUUUUGUAAAAUGUUCUUUAGUAAUCAUUUAUUUGUUUCUUAUUAAUUAAAUAUCACUCACAGAUGUUAAACAUUCAUCAAAUAACCGGUUGAAUACACAUUUACUUUGUGUUGAUCAGUUUGAUGGGUCGAGGUCUUGUACACACUGAAUGUGUGUAGUGUGUUUGUGUGUCUGUCACAGAGUCGUGUGUCUCUACUCUCACAGGUUUUUGUACGGCGGUUCGAUGCCUUCGUGUCACUGUGGUGGACGUUUGGUGGAGGAACCAGACUGAGCGUUGGAAGUGAUGUCCGGCCCACCCUGACGGUGCUGCCCCCCUCCAGGGAGGAGCUGCAGCAGGGGACGGCCACGCUGGUGUGCCUGGGCCGACAAGGGCUUCCC
ensembl:lncRNA